CUCCUUUUGUAGCUCAUGAGCGAUGAUGAUUGGGUGUUCACAUGCAUCUGUGAAAUGCACUACAAUCUUGGCUCAUUACCCAUCUGACC
ensembl:snoRNA